CUGAGAGAUUGGGGGGUGGGGAGGGGAGCAGUCAGGCAGGGCAAGGGAGGGUUUCUCUCCUGGGGACACUGCAGAGGGGCCACUGAUCCCUGAGCAGAAGGCCUGAGGGGCGGGAUCGGCCCUAGCCCAGCGAGGGGAACUAUCAAACCACUUCAGAAAAGCAGCAACCAAAGGCCAGAGGUCCCAUCACUGGGUCAUGAAGGGACACUGGGGAGGGGAGAGGUGGACACCGCAGAACGGAGGACUGUCUGGCAUCUGGCCUAUGCUGGGGGCUGGGGACGCAGAGCGAGUCACUGCUCAGCUAGGCCCGGAAGAGGAACCCACAGCUACAGACGCCCAGGGACAGACGGGGAAAACAGUUUAAAGCACAGAGGUGAUGUUACCUUGUGAGAUCCAAGAUGGAUUCCAAGCUCCCGGUGGCCCCCUGAAAGGAUCACCCAACAGUUCUAAAGCCACAGCAUAGACACAUCUACCUUACUGUAAUUCCUCUCUACGCCCUCACCUCAACAUGGUUCCCAGGAGAGGAGGACGUCACAGUGGGCCGAGCUUUCAGCACCUUUCCUGUGGCCAGCACUAGCUCUGGCCACUGUGCAGGCAGGUGUCUGGGUCUGGCUCCGCCUUCAAAAAGCCCCAAGUGUAUCUGCGCAUUUUGAGGAGAUUGACAGGUGACCAAAAAUCUUUCAUUAGGAAAGCCUGGCCUCACAAGGAAGUAAGCCGUACU